AGAACAGGAGGGAUGGACACCCAGAGACAGGGAAUGUGCUGCACUCUGCUUCUCUGCAGGAUCUUCCUCCUCACCCACACGUCUCAUGCCAGGCCUCUGAGGACUGUACUGGGAAGCCAGUUUUGACUUCAUACGCAAUGGGGCAGGUGGAUUCUGUGUGAGCCCUAGAAAGGAGCCCUAGGUGGCCUGCAGGUCAUAGAAUCUACUUGCUUCCCAUGCUCCAGGAUCAAAAGGUUGUGAUGUCACACCAGGCCUCGGGAACUCUACAGAGACCAGACCGAGAGUGGGAGGAAGAGCCUUUCCUCACCAGGUGAUGUAUGUGGUCAACACCAAAGACCUGGUCUGGAAGAGGCCCUGAGGGAGUGGAGAUGGUCUUACAGUCUGAGAUGAGGGUACCGGCUCAGACAACCAGGUCUGUUAUGUCCCAGUCUCGCCAGUGUCACAGGGGGUCAGGACAUGCUCCUGUCCACAGCUCCUGGGCAUCAUGAUCGCAGGCAUGUUCCAUCUUGAGGUCUAUCUGAACACCUACAGCAUCUAGCUGCGGCAUAAGCAUCACAACACUGAUAGACAGCCUUGGGAGGGCAAGCUUUUUCAUCAGGCUGACUCACAACAGACAAAACUGUACUGUUCUUGGCAGGAUGCCCUCAGUCCUGACUAAGCACUGGGGAAGCCGCACCUCCAGUGGGCUGGGCCAUUGGCAGCAGGGUCUGGGAAACAGGAAAAGUUUGUACGGUUUGGUCAUUUAAGGCCAGCCAGCUUCUUGCCACUUGAGGGCACAGUAAAGGACG
rnacentral:lncRNA from 1 species